rnacentral:misc_RNA from 1 species
GAUGAAGAACGUAGCGAAAUGCGAUAAGUAAUGUGAAUUGCAGAAUUCAGUGAAUCAUCGAAUCUUUGAACGCACCUUGCGCUCUUUGGUAUUCCGAAGAGCAUGCCUGUUUGAGUGUCAUGAAAAUAUCAACCUUGACUUGGGUUUUGUGCUCUAGUCUCGGCUUGGAAUUGGGUGCUUGCCGCUUUUACGAGCGGCUCACCUUAAAUGUAUUAGCUGGAUCUGUCUUUGAGACUUGGUUUGACUUGGCGUAAUAAGUAUUUCGCUAAGGACAUUCUUCGGAGUGGCCUCGUUUCUAGGACGCUUGUCCGCUUUCCAAUACAAGUUCCACCUCGUGGACAUGACUUUUUAUUAUCUGGCCUCAAAUCAGGUAGGACUACCCGCUGAACUUAAGAAUAUCAAUAAGCGGAGGA